UGGGGAAUAUUGGACAAUGGGCGAAAGCCUGAUCCAGCCAUGCCGCGUGAGUGAUGAAGGCCCUAGGGUUGUAAAGCUCUUUUGUGCGGGAAGAUAAUGACGGUACCGCAAGAAUAAGCCCCGGCUAACUUCGUGCCAGCAGCCGCGGUAAUACGAAGGGGGCUAGCGUUGCUCGGAAUCACUGGGCGUAAAGGGUGCGUAGGCGGGUUUCUAAGUCAGAGGUGAAAGCCUGGAGCUCAACUCCAGAACUGCCUUUGAUACUGGAAGUCUUGAGUUCGGGAGAGGUUAGUGGAACUGCGAGUGUAGAGGUGAAAUUCGUAGAUAUUCGCAAGAACACCAGUGGCGAAGGCGGCCCACUGGCCCGAUACUGACGCUGAGGCACGAAAGCGUGGGGAGCAAACA
rnacentral:rRNA from 1 species